rnacentral:rRNA from 1 species
CCCUUAGAUGUUCUGGGCCGCACGCGCGCUACACUGAUGCAUUCAACGAGCCUAGCCCUGACCGAGAGGUCCGGGUAAUCUUUGAAACUGCAUCGUGAUGGGGCUAGAUUAUUGCAAUUAUUAAUCUUCAACGAGGAAUGCCUAGUAAGCGUGAUUCAUCAAAUCGCGUUGAUUACGUCCCUGCCCUUUGUACACACCGCCCGUCGCUCCUACCGAUUGAGUGUGUUGGUGAGGAGUUCGGAUUGGCUCUUAGUGGUGGUUCGCCACCACCUAGAGCUGAGAAGUUCUCCAAACCGCCCCACUUAGAGGAAGGAGAAGUCGUAACA